AACGAACGCUGGCGGCAUGCCUAACACAUGCCAGUCGAACGAGACCUUCGGGUCUAGUGGCGCACGGGUGCGUAACGCGUGGGAACCUGCCCUUAGGUUCGGAAUAACUCCCCGAAAGGGGUGCUAAUACCGGAUAAUGUCUUCGGACCAAAGAUUUAUCGCCUUUGGAUGGGCCCGCGUUGGAUUAGCGAGUUGGUAGGGUAAAAGCCUACCAAGGCGACGAUCCAUAGCUGGUCUGAGAGGAUGAUCAGCCACACUGGGACUGAGACACGGCCCAGACUCCUACGGAGGGCAGCAGUAGGGAAUAUUGGACGAGGGGCGAAAGCCUGAUCCAGCAGUGCCGCGUGAGUGAUGAAGGCCUUAGGGUUGUAAAGCUCUUUUACCCGAGGUGAUAAUGACAGUACCGGGAGAAUAAGCUCCGGCUAACUCCGUG
rnacentral:rRNA from 1 species